UGAGUAACCUGCCCCCGACCCUGGGAUAACCCCGGGUAAACCGGAGCUAAUACCGGAUACUCUCCUCUGACCACCUGGUCGGAUGAGGAAAGGUCCGCCGGUCGGGGAUGGGCCCGCGGCCUAUCAGCUUGUUGGUGGGGUAGUGGCCUACCAAGGUCGACGACGGGUAGCCGGCCUGAGAGGGCGACCGGCCACACUGGGACUGAGACACGGCCCAGACUCCUACGGGAGGCAG
rnacentral:rRNA from 1 species